AACGAACGCUGGCGGCAUGCCUAACACAUGCAAGUCGAACGGGAUCCUAGCUUGCUAGGUGAGAGUGGCGGACGGGUGAGUAACACGUGGGAAUCUGCCUUUUUGGUUCGGGAUAACCGCGGGAAACUGCGGCUAAUACCGAAUGCCCUCGAGAGAGGAAAGAUUUAUCGCCAGAAGAGGAGCCCGCGUCCGAUUAGGUAGUUGGUGGGGUAAAGGCCUACCAAGCCGACGAUCGGUAGCUGGUCUGAGAGGAUGAUCAGCCACACUGGGACUGAGAUACGGCCCAGACUCCUACGGGAGGCAGCAGUGGGGAAUAUUGGACAAUGGGGGGCAACCCUGAUCCAGCAAUGCCGCGUGAGUGAUGAAGGCCUUAGGGUUGUAAAGCUCUUUUGCCCAGGGAAGAUGAUGACUGUACCUGGAGAAUAAGCCCCGGCUAACUUCGUGCCAGCAGCCGCGGUAAU
rnacentral:rRNA from 1 species